rnacentral:sRNA from 1 species
AUUAUUGAAGAAGAAUCCAUGAUCGUCGUUCUUUGUCUAUAUAUGGUUUGUUUC